rnacentral:rRNA from 1 species
GACGAACGCUGGCGGCGUGCUUAACACAUGCAAGUCGAACGGUGAAGCGCCUUCCUUUUUGGUGGGUGUGGAUGAGUGGCGAACGGGUGAGUAACACGUGAGUAACCUGCCCCCUUCUUCUGGAUAACCGCAUGAAAGUGUGGCUAAUACGGGAUAUUCUGGGUCUGUCGCAUGAUGGGUCUGGGAAAGAUAUUGUUUCGGUGGGGGAUGGGCUCGCGGCCUAUCAGCUUGUUGGUGGGGUGAUGGCCUACCAAGGCGGUGACGGGUAGCCGGCCUGAGAGGGUGGGCGGUCACACUGGGACUGAGACACGGCCCAGACUCCUGCGGGAGGCAGCAGUGGGGAAUAUUGCACAAUGGGCGCAAGCCUGAUGCAGCGACGCCGCGUGAGGGAUGGAGGCCUUCGGGUUGUGAACCUCUUUCGCCAGUGAAGCAGGCCUGCCUCGUUUGUGGGUGGGUUGACGGUAGCUGGAUAAGAAGCGCCGGCUAACUACGUG